GAUGAACGCUGGCGGCGUGCCUAAUACAUGCAAGUCGAGCGAACGGACGAGAAGCUUGCUUCUCUGAUGUUAGCGGCGGACGGGUGAGUAACACGUGGAUAACCUACCUAUAAGACUGGGAUAACUUCGGGAAACCGGAGCUAAUACCGGAUAAUAUUUUGAACCGCAUGGUUCAAAAGUGAAAGACGGUCUUGCUGUCACUUAUAGAUGGAUCCGCGCUGCAUUGGCUAGUUGGUAAGGUAACGGCUUACCAAGGCAACGAUGCAUAGCCGACCUGAGAGGGUGAUCGGCCACACUGGAACUGAGACACGGUCCAGACUCCUACGGGAGGCAGCAGUAGGGAAUCUUCCGCAAUAGGCGAAAGCCUGACGGAGCAACGCCGCGUGAGUGAUGAAGGUCUUCGGAUCGUAAAACUCUGUUAUUAGGGAGGAACAUAUGUGUAAGUAACUGUGCACAUCUUGACGGUACCUAAUCAGAAAGCCACGGCUAACUACGUG
rnacentral:rRNA from 1 species